UGAGCAAUCUGCCCUUCUCUCUGGGAUAACCCCGGGAAACCGGAGCUAAUACCGGAUACUCCGGCUGGAUCGCAUGGUCCGGCCGGGAAAGGUCCGCCGGAGAGGGAUGGGCCCGCGGCCUAUCAGCUUGUAGGUGGGGUAACGGCUCACCAAGGCUACGACGGGUAGCUGGUCUGAGAGGACGACCAGCCACACUGGAACUGAGACACGGCCCAGACUCCUACGGGAGGCA
rnacentral:rRNA from 1 species